rnacentral:rRNA from 1 species
UACGUAGGGUGCGAGCGUUAAUCGGAUUUACUGGGCGUAAAGCGUGCGCAGGCGGCCCGUUAAGACAGGUGUGAAAUCCCUGGGCUCAACCUAGGAAUUGCGCUUGUGACUGGCGGGCUCGAGUACGGUAGAGGGGGGUGGAAUUCCUGGUGUAGCAGUGAAAUGCGUAGAUAUCUGGAAGAACACCGAUGGCGAAGGCAGCCCCCUGGGCCUGUACUGACGCUCAUGCACGAAAGCGUGGGGAGCAAACAGG